rnacentral:rRNA from 1 species
GACGAACGCUGGCGGCGUGCUUAACACAUGCAAGUCGAACGGAAAGGCCCUGCUUUUGUGGGGUGCUCGAGUGGCGAACGGGUGAGUAACCCGUGAGUAACCUGCCCUUGACUUUGGGAUAACUUCAGGAAACUGGGGCUAAUACCGGAUAGGGGCUCCUGCUGCAUGGUGGGGGUUGGAAAGUUUCGGCGGUUGGGGAUGGACUCGCGGCUUAUCAGCUUGUUGGUGGGGUAGUGGCUUACCAAGGCUUUGACGGGUAGCCGGCCUGAGAGGGUGACCGGCCACAUUGGGACUGAGAUACGGCCCAGACUCCUACGGGAGGCAGCAGUGGGGAAUAUUGCACAAUGGGCGGAAGCCUGAUGCAGCAACGCCGCGUGCGGGAUGACGGCCUUCGGGUUGUAAACCGCUUUCGCCUGUGACGAAGCGUGAGUGACGGUAAUGGGUAAAGAAGCACCGGCUAACUACGUG